rnacentral:lncRNA from 1 species
UCAUGAUUCUUUAACUGUCUGGACCCAUAGGCUAUGACCUUCCCAUGCUGCAUCAGGACACAACUCAAGCCUAGAUAGGAGUUAUCACUAUAAACUGUAUACCCCCCGAUCUACUCGGUAAAGCCAGUACGGGUGCAAUGGUCAACUGCUCCUUUAAUUCUGAAAAACUUCUCUCACAGUCCUCAUUCCACUCAAACUUGGCAUUCUUCUUUGUGAGUUGGGUUAGGAGAGCCGCUAG